UACAGAGGGUGCGAGCGUUAAUCGGAGUUACUGGGCGUAAAGGGCACGUAGGCGGUUAAAUAAGUCAGUUGUGAAAGUCCUGGGCUUAACCUGGGGACGGCAAAUGAAACUGUUUGACUGGAGUCGAAGAGAGGGGGGCGGAAUUUCCGGUGUAGCGGUGAAAUGCGUAGAUAUCGGAAGGAACACCUGUGGCGAAGGCGACUACCUGGCCUGUUCUUGACGCUGAGGCGCGAAAGCUAGGGGAGCAAACGGG
rnacentral:rRNA from 1 species